CCUACGGGAGGCAGCAGUGGGGAAUAUUGCACAAUGGGCGGAAGCCUGAUGCAGCGACGCCGCGUGAGGGAUGAAGGCCUUCGGGUUGUAAACCUCUUUCAGCAGGGACGAAGCGUGAGUGACGGUACCUGCAGAAGAAGCACCGGCUAACUACGUGCCAGCAGCCGCGGUAAUACGUAGGGUGCGAGCGUUGUCCGGAAUUACUGGGCGUAAAGAGUUCGUAGGCGGUUUGUCGCGUCGUUUGUGAAAACCCGGGGCUCAACUUCGGGCUUGCAGGCGAUACGGGCAGACUUGAGUGUUUCAGGGGAGACUGGAAUUCCUGGUGUAGCGGUGAAAUGCGCAGAUAUCAGGAGGAACACCGGUGGCGAAGGCGGGUCUCUGGGAAACAACUGACGCUGAGGAACGAAAGCGUGGGUAGCAAACAGGAUUAGAUACCCUGGUAGUCCACGCCGUAAACGGUGGGCGCUAGGUGUGGGUUCCUUCCACGGGAUCUGUGCCGUAGCUAACGCAUUAAGCG
rnacentral:rRNA from 1 species